GGGGUUGCAGCUCAGUGGUAGAACGCUUGCCUCGCGUGCAUGAGGUCCUGGGUUCAGUCCCCAGCACCACA
rnacentral:tRNA from 1 species